AUGCUCUGGUUUCUCUUCAUAACAAAUCUUUUUGCCUUUUAUUAAAGAUUUCCCUGAAGAGUUAACAGUUGUGAAUUGGUGACCAAAUUUUUUGAGGCCUUCUUAGGCAGGGCU
ensembl:snRNA U5 U5 spliceosomal RNA